GAUGAACGCUGGCGGCGUGCUUAACACAUGCAAGUCGAACGAUGAAGCCCAGCUUGCUGGGUGGAUUAGUGGCGAACGGGUGAGUAACACGUGAGUAACCUGCCCUUAACUCUGGGAUAAGCCUGGGAAACUGGGUCUAAUACCGGAUAGGAGCGUCCACCGCAUGGUGGGUGUUGGAAAGAUUUAUCGGUUUUGGAUGGACUCGCGGCCUAUCAGCUUGGUGGUGAGGUAAUGGCUCACCAAGGCGACGACGGGUAGCCGGCCUGAUAGGGGGACCGGCCACACUGGGACUGAGACACGGCCCAGACUCCUACGGGAGGCAGCAGUGGGGAAUAUUGCACAAUGGGCGCAAGCCUGAUGCAGCGACGCCGCGUGGGGGAUGACGGCCUUCGGGUUGUAAACCUCUUUCAGUAGGGAAGAAGCGAAAGUGACGGUACCUGCAGAAGAAGCACCGGCUAACUACGUG
rnacentral:rRNA from 1 species